rnacentral:rRNA from 1 species
AGCGAACGCUGGCGGCAGGCCUAACACAUGCAAGUCGAACGCCCCGCAAGGGGAGUGGCAGACGGGUGAGUAACGCGUGGGAAUCUACCGUACCCUACGGAAUAACGCAUGGAAACGUGUGCUAAUACCGUAUACGCCCUACGGGGGAAAGAUUUAUCGGGGUAUGAUGAGCCCGCGUUGGAUUAGCUAGUUGGUGGGGUAAAGGCCUACCAAGGCGACGAUCCAUAGCUGGUCUGAGAGGAUGAUCAGCCACAUUGGGACUGAGACACGGCCCACACGCCUACGGGAGGCAGCAGUGGGGAAUAUUGGACAAUGGGCGCAAGCCUGAUCCAGCCAUGCCGCGUGAGUGAUGAAGGCCUUAGGGUUGUAAAGCUCUUUCACCGGAGAAGAUAAUGACGGUAUCCGGAGAGGAAGCCCCGGCUAACUUCGUGCCAGCCGCCGUUGUAAUAC